CGUUGCUAGUUGCAGGGGGCGCAGCCCACCAUCCCUGCGGGAGACGAACCGGCAACCUUGUGGUUGAGAGGAUGCGCUCCAACCAACUGAGCCAUCCGGGAGCUCAGCGGCAGCUCAGCUCAAGGUGCCGUGUUCAAUCUUAGUUGCAGGGGGCACUGCCCACCAUCCCUUGCGGGACUCGAGGAAUCGAACCGGCAGCCUUGUGGUUGAGAGCCCACUGGCCCAUGUGGGAAUUGAACCGGCAGCCUUUGGAGUUAGGAGCAUGGAGCUCUAACCGCCUGAGCCACCGGGCCGACCCCCAAGCUUCAGUGUUAACAGUCACAAGCCCGCCCAUGCUGCAGAGAAACUGGCUGUUACUCCCACUUCUGGAUGUCACAUUUCCUGUUUGUGUGCCUGGACUGAGUGAGGGAGACCUGGUGGUGAAGGGCAACGGGAGGACAGAGGCCUUCUUACAGGAGUUGGACCACAGCACCUUCCCUUCCUCCCAGCCCUGCCUCCUUCUGCAGAACGAAGCUCAAUAGAACUUUGUUGUUUUGCUUUUUACGCUGAGGGGAGAGAAGCAGACGAUGAGCUGAAAAGCCCGCACUGACCACGACGAGGGAUGAACAAAGUGUAGUGAGUGAGGAAAACGCGUACCAGGCACCCAGAAAGUACCUGGGAAUGGCAGAGGAGCCACAGACCCGCGUGAUUAGGCCACGGGAGAACCCUCAUGUUUACUGAGAACAGAGUGGUGAAAAGGGCGGCACGGGAGGCUGACACCUAGACCCGAAUCCUGGC
rnacentral:lncRNA from 1 species